rnacentral:rRNA from 1 species
UACGAAGGGGGCUAGCGUUGUUCGGAAUUACUGGGCGUAAAGGGCUCGUAGGCGGCCAACUAAGUCAGACGUGAAAUCCCCAGGCUCAACCUGGGAACUGCGUCUGAUACUGGAUGGCUUGAAUCCGGGAGAGGGAUGCAGAAUUCCAGGUGUAGCGGUGAAAUGCGUAGAUAUCUGGAGGAAUACCGGUGGCGAAGGCGGCAUCCUGGACCGGCAUUGACGCUGAGGAGCGAAAGCUAGGGGAGCAAACGGG